CCGCGCGUCGACAGCGCCGGCGUGACGGACCCUCGGAGGGAGUCAAACCCUCCCGGCUGACACUCAUUAGAGCGUUGCCGAGCUGGGAGAGGGUCGUGUUUAAGUGUCAACAGAUGUUGCCUCCACCCAGCUCUUGAGCAGAAACAAUUCAUGGGAGGAGGACUGCCUCUUCUGUCGAUGUUCAUCUCCCUGCUGCCUGCCUGGUGGCACUCCAGCUCGACGUGAAUACGGCUCCUCACGUUCCUAAUCUGGUCAGCUCGUACCAGCUGAUGGUCUGGGGCCAAACCAGCGGCUGAAACAAAGGUUUCCUUGAAUAAAGAACAAGGUGUUCCUCCGUGGCAGACGCAGACAGCUCUACUCACACUCAUCGUCAGGUGUAUCUGCGCUGGGCUCCGGGGUCAGGGGAGGCGGUGGACGCUUUAGGAGGUCACCUGGUCGAGGUUCAGCUUGCAGGUGUAUCUCUGCGCUGUGCUCCUGGGUCAGGGGAGGCGGUGGACGGUUAUGAAGGUGAUCUGGUCGAGGUUCAGCAGCGCCUGAGGUCCCAUCCCGGAGGUAGGAUCCCCUCCCACUGCUCCGUGUGGCUCGGAGACAGGCCGCCUCUCAGACGGCCCCGUGGUGGAGGAAAGGCUCGUUCUGCGGUCGGUGGGCCCGCCAACAACAUGAUCUGGGGCUUCUGCCCGUAGCGCGCGCCGACACCGCGCCCCGCCAUGGUCGUUCAGUUAGUGGCGUUAAUAGUUAAUCCAUCUGCAGUUAUUACUGCUGGUGCCAAAAUGGGAAAAUAAUGAUGGGUGUGUAUGGACGCUUCAAUGAAGUAUUUAAUGAUCAGUUUAGAAUUAAUAAUAUCUACGUACGAAACCAGAUCUAUGAAAACACAUCUCUAAUUGUGUUAAGAAAUUAAGCCCGGUUCCAAGGGAAAAAAAUAAAUAAAAAAAAAUAAUAUAAGAAAUGAAACCAUGUAUGGUUAUUAAUGAUGACAUGUUAAUGUAGGU
ensembl:lncRNA